rnacentral:lncRNA from 1 species
UUAGAACUACGGCCAAGUUAAGGGGCUGUUUGGUUGGUGUAAUUAGAAAUAUAAUGUAGUCGGAGAUAUGAUAAUUAUAAUUAUAUAUAUCUUGUUUGGAUGAAUACGGUAAAAAAUGCUACAAUUAUAAAUAAUUUAUUUGGUUGCAUAUAGUUGAGUGCGUUUGUAAACUUUUAUUACUAUUACAUCCUUAAUUACUUUUUAAAUAAUUUUUUAUAUUAGUAGAAGUAAUUUCACCAUCAUAUAUAUAAUUAGGGCUACUAUACUCUUAUAAGUGUAAACUCUUUUAUACUCAUAAAUUUUCGUCUAUUAAAUCUACUCCUUUGACCAUUUCCACCCAUUAGAUCAUACUAUUCAACCAACAACCUACUCAACCCCAGGGGACCACUAUCAUCUUAACCACACAUCUUUUAAUUCAAAGGCCGAAAGCCUACAAGCACCAAGAACUUAGUACUCUUAAAAGUAUAGGAGCUCAAUUCUAGAUAUACAUAUACAUAUUUUAUGUACUAAGUACCAAGAACUUAGUACUCUUGAAAUUUAUAAUUUGAAGAUUAAAAUUUAUAAAUUUUUAAUUUUAAAAAUUUGAAAUUUAUAAUUUGAAGAUUAAAAUUUAUAAUUUAAAAUUUAAAAAUUUUAAAUUUUUACAUUUAAAUUUUAAAAUCUAAAUUGUCAAAUUUGAAAUUUAAAAUUUGAAAUUUGAAAUUUAAAAUUUAAAAUUUGAAAUUUAAAAUUUAAAAUUUAAAUUUAAAAUUUAAAAUUUGAACUUUGAAAUUUGAAAUUUUAAAAUCUGAAAUUUGAAAUUUGAAAUUUGAAAUUUGAAAUAAAAUUUGAAAAUUUAAAAUCUAAAAUUUGAGAUUUGAAAUUUAAAAUUAAAAUUUAAAAUUUAAAAUCUAUAUUUCAAAUUUUAAAAUUUAAAAGUUAAAAUUUAAAAAUUUUAAAAUGAAUCUGAAAAUUAAAAUUUAAAAUUUAAAAUUAAAAUUAAAUUUAAAUUUAAAUAUUAAAACUAAAAUAAAAUAAAAUUUUGAAGUUUAAAUCCAAAAUCAGAAUCAGUUUUCAAGAAGUAGCUUUUUUCUGUUUCUGAUUUUGAGGCCUUCAAAAUCAGUUUUCUGAUUCUAAAAAGUAGAAUCAGAUUUUAAAAGUGAGUUGCCAAACGCUCUAUUGAGCCAAAAAUCACUUUUCAGCCCAAAAGUGUUUUUUAAAAGCUAGGCCUAACACCCCCUAUAUGUUUUCUGAACAAUACUGCUUGUACAUUCCUAGACUAUUUGUAAGAUUUACACCUAUCCAUCCAAUCCAUUAACUAAAAAACUCAAAUGAAUUUUUGUGAAUCUUAGGAAGGUGUAAGAUUUAUACGUAUAUAAAUAGGUAUAAAUGUAGCGUUUACGGUGACAAUUCAUGGGCGCGAGGCCCACAUUAUUUGGAUUUGAGCCCACCACAAUACUUAGUCUCAUGGGUUGGGCUGGCUCGGAUUUACGCUUAAUAAAAACUGCGGCCCAACCCAACCCGUGAACAAGCGUAAUUUUAAUGUUGUUUAAUAAAGUGCCAUUGAGAUUUUAGAAGUUCUCGACCUCUUUUUUACAGCAAAACUGAAAUUUUCAAUAGUUUCUACUAUUGGAUUUCGCGAUAUAACUUCUGCUUUUCGUCGUAGUAAAAAUUUUAGAUUUAUUAUCGAAUGCUCUAAGACACGAUACGACAUUAUCCAAACAAAAAGAUCAUACCAAAUUUAAGGCAUGGAACCCCUAAACCUAAUAAUAGUCCACGCCAACUAGAAGGGUGAUGAUCACUAAAUGCAACAAUUAUAUCCAACAUAGUGAAAUAUACUUGACACAACCAUUUCUCUCUCCCUUUUAUUAACUCUUAUUAUGGUAUAAACCAUAAAUAAUCAAAUAGAGCAAUAGUAAUAGUGACUACAAUAAUACAAUACCAAUCUCCAAUGCAAGUAAUAAAUCACAUGUAAGAAAUUGGGCAUAAAUAUAAUCUAUAUCAUUUCCUUGUAAGAGCUUCUUUAUAUGAAUAUUAUAAUUUCUCACUCCUUGUUAUUAUUUCUAAAAAAAAAAGGCCAAUUUGCAUAAAAAAUCCACUUAUUUUGGGCUUUUGCAGAAUCGGGCCACCUUUUUCGUUUUUGCAGAUUCGGUCCGUUUUUUCAACAAACUGACCAAAAUACCCUUAUUACUUUUUCUCUUUCCUCUUUCUCUCUCCUCUUCGUUUUCUCGUUUUUUUUUUUUUUUCUUCCGCCACGCCAUGUCCCGCUGGGUCGCCCGCUCCAUCCACCUCCGCCUCCUCCCCAUCCUCUCCCACGCCGUCGACGCCCGCUCCCCCGUCGACCUCCAGGACUUGCUGCUCCGCAAAAUUAAUUAAAUAUUAAUAAAAAUUUACUAUUAAAUUAUCUCCAUCUCCAUCUCCAUCUCCAUCUCCAUUUCCACACCCCCAAAAGCUUCGAUCGCCAUGAGUCCCGUGGUGACUAAGUCCUCUCCAACCCUCGUACCCCCCGCGUCGCCGACCCCGACCUCGACGCUCCUCCUCCCCCUCUCCUCCAUCUAUCGCGCCGCCAACGCGCGCGUCUCCGUCGAAUUCAUCCAGGUCUUCUCCCGCGGCGGCAGCGGCGGCACCGUCGCCGCCAUCAGAGAGGGUCGCCGCCAUUAGAGAGGGCUUCGCCCGCGCCCUCGUCCCCUACUUCCCCGUCGCCGGGAGGAUCAUCGAGAGCGUCCCCGGCGAGCCCAUGGUCGAGUGCUCCGGCGACGGGAUCUGGUUCGUGGAGGCGGAGGUCGAUUGCGCCCUGGACGACGUGAACCAGCACGCGCGGAGCGGGCGCUGCUCCCGGCUAGAGGCCCUCGGCCGGGCUGCGGCGAUCCGCCGACAUCCCGCGGAAGCUCUACCCGGCGAGUCCCGCGACACUCGGUAAUGAGUCGUAAUGGUGCAGUCUCGAGCGGGUCCGCUCGCACGCAGCGUGCGGCGGCGGGCAACGCGGGAGCGCUGACGGUAAUAUUCUUUCUUCGUCGUAAAGGAAGUAAUAGGGCACCAUAUACACCAUUAAUUUGUACGCAUUAACACCCGUUUGAAGGGUAAUUUCAACCAUUACACCAUUAAGGGUUAUGAUGUAAUUACACUCAAUUAAUGGUGUAAACCAUUACACCUGUUAAUGGGUUAAUUCCGCAUUAACAUUAAUGGUAAUGGUGACCAUUACACCAUUAAUGGUGAAAUUACCCAUUACCACAUUAAUGGUGUAAUGGUGAAUUACACCAUAACGGUGCGACACGCCCACGGAGCGGAGCCAGGGGUUGAAGCUCUGACGGGCAUGCAAGGCUGCCGAAGGCGCCUCCGAAGCGCGCGGCGAUCGCACAGCGUGCCGUGGCGCUCCGCGCGACAGAAACGAAUCGAGAGGAAAGAGACAAGAGUGCGCGACAGAAACGAAAGGAUGUCAAUCUGGCGGGAGAGAACCGAAGCGAUCAGAAAUAAGGUGGAUGGAGCGGGCUAGACCUCCUCUCGCGCCUUCUCAUGAAGCGGGAGACGAGCUCGAGCUUGCGGGCCUUGAAUGGUGGCGGAGAGGUAGUGAGUCGACGUGGGCCGAGGCGCUGCUUGGAAGCGUAGGUCUCCAUGCCGAAACUGGAGGCGGCUUCUUGAACAUGCCAAAGCGAACUGGGGAAGAUGAACGCUGCAGGGUGGCCUCGGUGGCGCUGAUCGAAGCGACGGCGAAGGCGUCUCGGGCAGCCGGGAGAGCAUCUCGGAGUAUCCCAUUGUGAAGCAGAGCCACAGAUGUGUCGAAGGUUAGAGGCGGACAGCAGGUCCUGGAGGUCGACGGGGGAGCGGGCGUCGACGGCGCGUGGGAGAGGAUGGGAGAGGCGGAGUGGAUGGAGCGGCGACCCAGCGGACAUGCGUGGCGGAAAAAAAAAAAAAAAAAAAAAAAAAAAAAAAGAACAACGAGAGAACGAAGAGGAGAGAGAAAGAGGAAAGAGAAAAAGUAAUAAGGGUAUUUUGGUCAGUUUGCUGAAAAAACGGACCGAAUCUGCAAAAACGAAAAAGGUGGCCCGAUUCUGCAAAAGCCCAAAAUAAGUGGAUUUUUUAUGCAAAUUGGCCAAAAAAAAAAGUGUGUCAUCUUUUUUUUUUGGCUAAAUUUUAAUUGAAAUGAAAGAAAUUUUGCUCACUUGAAUAGAUUUUACUGUAAUUUACUGUGCUGAUGUAUGUAGACCCUUAUUAAUUCUCGAGUAAUGCUAUACCUACUUAGAAAUCUUAUAAAAGAGUAAUUUAAUCCAAGAUAACAUCUAUAAUCUAUAAAUCUAUAAAUAAAUCUAUAUGAAGCUAUAAUAUUUUUUGCCACGUUGCAUGUUAUCCUUAAUUCUCAUAGCCAAAUUUAAAUCAAAUCACCUUCACCUUUUCUCAACGCCCAAUCCUUUACUUCCCCACUCCUCUAAUUACAUGCAAAGUGCAACAUUUAAUUAUAUGCAACUUUAAAUCCAACUUUAAAUCAAACCACAUUCUCCUCUUCUCAACGCCCAACUCACCUUCCUACUCCUCUAAUUACAUGCAAGGUGCAACAUUUAAUUACACGCACCAUAUUAAUAUUCUAUCAAUGAGUGGGUUUUAUAACUUUAAUCUACUUUCCUCCUCCAUAAUCCCCUACCCUCUCUCUUUUGUAAUUCUUUUACAUGCACCAUAAAAAAAAAUAUCAUCGUCUAAUCUCCUACUCCGCACUCAUCUCCCUCUUCCUCUCAUUGUGUUAACGAAGAAGAAGAAGAAGAAGAAGAGCCUCUCAAGAGCAUUGUCUCCUUCGAGAAGCAUCGUCCGGCGAAACCGAGCUGCGGCUCAUAUAAGUGCCCGCUGAGCCGGUCCGCGCGAGGCCUCUGCUUACCAUGCGAAUUUAGUCAUACAAAUUGGCUGUGCUUAAUGCGAUAUAGCUUCCUAUAUAUCAAUAAAUUAAAAUAUAAAAUUUAUUAAAAUUUUUAAAUUUUGCUUUUAUUAUCUACACUAGUGUUAUUAAUAGACCAAAAGAACUAAAAAGAAAUUGCCAUGCAAACUCCAGUAAGAAAUUAUAACAAACUAGUAAAUGGGCAAACCAUUUUUCAUUUGCCCACUUUGGAUAGUAUAAUUAUCAUUUUACCCAUAAAUUAUACCAUCCUUCUAUGACUUGUAUGAAACAUUUAAAUUAUAACUUCUAAUCUUAGUACGUAAUUAUAAAAAAUAAAACUAAAAGGGCCUAACACUUUCAUCCUCUAACUUUAAAUUUUACAAUCCAAUUUCGUUGAUUAAUGAUGAUGAGUUACUGAUAUGUCAGCAUUAUGAUAUUUUUUAGUCACCAUCAUGUUAUUAGUCGUAGCAAUCCACAUUAACAACACAUUAAGUUAACUAAAUUUUAUUAUGAACUCAACAGUCUACAAACCAUAAGUAAAAAAUAAAUAUUUUAAUCAUUAUUAUGUCAUCAAUUAUAAUACUAUUAUAUUAGCGAUACAUCACUAUUAUACUAUGAAACUACAUAAUUCAUAAAAUUAGAACAGAAGUUAUAUUGGAUUAAAAUUCUAAAGAUUGUGUGCUUUCAAAAGUACUAGGUACGGAACCUGCGCGAUGCAGCGGGACGACAAUACAACAGUAAAUUAUUAUAACUAUUAAUAUCAUUUUUUUUCUAUUAUGCAUUAGUAUUUUUAAAUAUUAAUAUUUUGAACCUAUAAGGGUUUCGAUUAAUAGGUUUGAUGUGGUAAGAAGAUAAAAUUUCAAGAGUUGUGAGAGAGAUAGCUCGAGUGCAUUUCACGUAACACAGCGGAGUUGUCCACCCGCAGGGGGGGUGUUUUUUCGGAAAAAGUUGGUCGUACAUCCGACCCGUGAGCCCAGCGGGUGUUUCUCUUUUGUUGGCUAGGGUACAUGCAGGGGAGAGUGUGAGAAGAUAGUGGCUUUUGCUGAGGUCCUUGGGAUCGGACACGGCGGCUUUAGAUGGUACUUUUUGGGAUUCUCGGUUCGGUUGACGCAUAUGCUAUAGUAGCGGAUUUGCAUAUUACUUCCAGUUUCUUUCUUUACAGUUGUCUCUCGCUACUAUAUGUAUGAUAUCCUUGCUCAUGCCUGCAGUUGAAAUUACAGUAGCGGUAGUGUUUUUCAUAUAUAUAUUUAUCUGUUCGUCCAUUAUCGUUGCUACUGUAUUUUACUUACCCAUAUUUGUUGGUUUAUCUCUUCCUGAUCCGAGUUGAGUACUCCUCGCCUUCUAGACUUGCCGGGUACCACUGGGAGGGGAGACAUGUUUUACAUGUUCUCACCUCCCCACCCAUUUUUCAGGUAUCGUUGUGGCGUUGAGUAGUUGGGCGAGACGUGAGGUACGUGUAGCGGUCCGAUAGAGCUUCCGAGCCUAGCGCUUAUGUCGAUUAUAGCUAUUACCUUUUUAUUUCUGUGGAUAUUUAUAGGCUUAGUCGGUCUACCAUGGUUCAGUUUUGUUUUAUUAAUUGAAUACUCUAAGUUUUCAGUUGGGUUUUUUGGAAUGUAAUAAAGGAAUUGUGAUUUCUUGAAAUAAAGGGUUUUCUACCUCGUGGGUAGCGUUUCUUAAAGAAUUAAAGGUUUCGUGGUAGCGUAACAGUUUCAAAAGAAUUUUCCAGUGAUUUUUCUAUUUAAACACUGAAAUGUAAAAACUGUGAUGUGAAUGAUGUAUGUAUGAAUGAUCUAUAUUAUUCCUUAAUAUUCAAUCUGAGUGUGCGUUGUAAAUAUCCUAGAGUUGUACUGUGUAUUUGAUCGACUGCCGUGCAAUUAGGGAGACUUCUGUCCGUUGCGUGAACAGUGGAUUCCUGUAUUUGUGGGAAUCUGGAAUACCCUUGGGCAAGUGUUUAAAAAAAAAAAAAAUUAUCAGUCGCUUUCGUUUGUUUUAAACUGAAAAGGGGACCACGGAGGCGUGACAGAUUAAUGUGGUAUCAGAGCAAGGUUACAACCACAACACCAUUCACAGGUUUGUUUUGAAAAGUAAAUGAACUGAACAAUUGGUUAGGUGACCAUAUAAGGAAGACUCACGGUAAUAUAGGCAAGGAUGUGGGGUUUGGGUUGUGUCCCGGUAUGUAUUCGAGUUAGGUAAACUCGAUGGCGCGUUACUUCUUUUCGUACUUCGGUUUUCGCACAAGCUGGUGUCUAAGUCGGAUAAAGUUAGUGGCGGUGCACCUUUUUCGAACAUCGAGUGGUGGACACGUUUCCUAGUGGUUCCAGUCCUGUCAGAUCGGAGUGGGGCCUUGAAAGGCCAGAUGAUUCUGGGCCUAUGGCGAGUGUCAUGACUGCGACGCCCAGGGCCAUCUCUCUACUUAGGACACGAGAGCUGUUGCGAUGUCUCUACGGAGACGGGUGUAUAGGACCAGUCUGGGUCGCCGAAUUUGUAGGCGUUAUAGGGUGUAGCCCAGGGUUUGGAUUGCGGUUGUUUCAGCGACUGCAUUGUUAGUUGUUGCUUCCGCAGACUUUGGGUAAAUUGUUGAUGCCUACCUCUCUUUCCUGAUUGCUGGUGGAAAUCAGCGUUCGGAAUCUUUUGACUUUUACCUCGUUCAUUUCUUACCGACCAGAAGUCGGAAUUGACACAGUUUUGGUGUCAUGUUUUCAUUAAGGCAUACAUCGUAUGCGGUUAUUCUACACCCAAAUUUGGUGUGUUGUGGGUUAGUUCGUAGUUGGGUCUAUAUUCGAGAUGUUCUUAGGGUCGUUCUAAGUUCGAAAUGUCGACUUGUAAAGUCAGAUGUUUCCAGACUAGUAUUGAUUUGAGCUUUCUGGUUCAGUAGAGAGGUAUCAAGUGGCUUUGAUACAAUAAUAUUCGAGUACUGUCUCAACUGGUUGUUGGUAGUGGAUCUAUAGGAUAUUUCGCUUUUUUUUUGAUGAGUAUAUUGGCUGCAGACAUAUACUGUCGAAAGAGAAAAGAAAAUAUUCUUCCUUCCUGUUUUGGGACUCAUGGAUUGGGUCGGUAUUUCUUUCCUUCGUAGAUAGUCUUGUGAGGAUGGUUGGGUUGGUAUUCUUUGACCACGUAGUGGCCUUGAUUAUCUUGGCAGGUUUGCGCAGUUGAUUUCUAUCACUGCAGCGUGGUUCUGAACUCUGAGUUCGAGUCUUGGUGUUCAUAGCUUUGUUGUGCUUCCAUUUAACUAAAAGGUUUGUUGGUUUAGUUAGUUUCAGUUGUUGUCUUGAGGAUAGUUGUUUAGCUUUGAUUGUCAUGUAAGGUGUUUAUUUUUGAAGGAUUGUAACUUCGGCCUUUUGUGGACUUUGGAUUGAUGCUUGCGGUUAAUUAGGUGAACAGGUGCGCCGGGUGGUUCUCAAAAGAUAGUUAUCUGGUGUUUGCUCGAAAACACGAUAAGCUAGGUCCCUUGUAGGACGCAGCGAAGGGUCUCGUAGAGACAGGUAGUGAGCAUCACCGAUGGUUGGUUCGUAUAGUGGCAUUGGCAAUCCUGUGCACCAAGUUUUGGACUUGAUGGCGAGUUUAUUGGUUUAGUCGAACCAGUUUUAUUUGAGCAAGCGAGCGAAUUGUCGGAGCUCAAUUUAGUUUUGUCAGCCUUCGACCUUGUUGGUCAGGUGAAAGGUGAGUUUGUGGGACCUUAGGACAGAAUGUCAAAGGGGCUUUCCGUAGAUGUGGAAUUGACUUCGCAGUUGCCAUGAUCGGUUAUGGGAGGACUGUAGCUUCAAGAGGUGUUUCUACGACUCGAGUUUUGGGAGAACGUUUGUUUUUCCGCUCGUGAGUGAGCAAUGUUGAAUUUUUGUUGGCUUAGUCGGAAUAUAUUUUGCUCCGAUCCAGGUAUUUAAACUCCAAGUUUGGUGGUGUUGCGUAGUGAUUCUUUUCUGUGAACCUUAGGACAUGUGGUCGAGUCGGUUGAGGCUUUUUCGGACCAAGGUUUACAGGAUGUUGUUGAUCACGCGGUGUGUUUAUGGUCCGCAGACUUUGGGAUUUGCGUACGUGUCCCUCGAUGCUCCUGUUCUUGUAGAACGCAGUUUAUUCUCCCCUUUUCAGAGGUUUGUCUGUCAAUUCUUAGAAUUUGUUGACUGGGAUCAGUAUCCAAAGGUGUUACGCGUGGGGGCAAUGUCAAGAGUUUGAUUACUGUGUGGGUACGUGGUUUCAAGUUUCGAUGGACGAAACUUCUUUUUAAGGGGGGGUGAUGUAAGGGACUUUGAGAUUUCUGACAGUGAAUAAAACUCUCUGUUUGAUAUGUUUAUGUGUGUAAUUUAAUUACAUUAAGCCCUCGUCAAGUUUCAGGGAAAACUGAGUAAUAUGGAAGGAAGAUACGCGAUUUUUAGUUUUCACCUUUAAAGUGAAUAGUAACUCGGUUUCCGGAAAGUACGGCAGUACGUUGAGCUUCUUGGUGCGUUAUCGGACUCCGUCUAUAUCGGUCCAAUAGCUCGUUUCGACCGGACCAAGCUGUUCUGGAAAAUUAGUGCGCUUGACGGAUUUUUGAUAGUUUCGACGCACGGAUUUCGGAGAAAUCCAAAUACAUGUUUUAUAUGUUCAUUUGUGUGUUUGCAUUCUUUAUUGAAGAAGGUUGGAGUUUGUAUGUGAAUCCCGUGAUCGAUCGAGAGCGAACGAAAGUGUAGCUUUGUUGUCUCUGAGUGCUGAUUGCACUGGUGCGAUCACGUUCGCAAAUCUGAACGGACAGAUCUGCAGAGAAUUUGCACGGCUUGAGAUCGAGGAAGAGCGAUCGGUGUGGGGAAAACGGUAUUUUUGCAUUAAGUCUGCACAAUUUUAUUACGAAUUCGAAUGAGGAUCAAACGCUGGAGGUGCGUACCACGCGAUUUACUCGUGCUUGUGAAGGUUUUGAGUUGGAAUUAACCGGUCGGAGGGAUUUGUGCAAGCGGGCUUUGUAUAUUUAUUGUCUUUAGGGUUUCUAUGCAACGACCCUAGUUUCGGCCGACCUAGUCUUCCAGCUAUGCGUAGGUAGACUCAGCAGGCUCUUACCCUGGCCGUGCUCGCGCCGGACCCGGCGUGCGACUCGAUGCCGCCGGAAAACUCUAAAUGGCGGUCAUCUCAUUCUCCACCCUCUCGGCCCGCGUUACUCAGGGAAACGCCCGAAGCGAGAUCCUUCACCCUAGUGGCCAGAGAUGUUACCUCCGGCGCGACCUCGCACGCCCCCGCCGUCGGCACGCGCGGCCGACGCCGCCGAGAAGCACACCUGUCCCUGCGUCACCUGGCUUAUCACCCAGGCCCUGAGUCUGUGUGAUCUUGCAUCGCGCGCCGCCACCGGCUCCCCGUGGCCGCGCCGGCCUCUAGAACCUCCGGCGACUUCGGGUGCCUCACCGUCGUUCCCCGGCGCUGGCCGGUCGAUGCGUGCACCCUGCGGCCGCCCAGAGCUUGACAUGCGGGGCUGAGGCAGAAGCACCUCGGGCACCGCAGACAGCACCGCCACGGUAGUGAUGCACCAUGACCCCUUCGGCCCCGGCGACGGAUCGCCGUCGCCCCGACUCCUCCGGUCGCCGCAAGUGGCCCGUCGCCGCCGCUACCCUCCCCCUGCGGGCGGCCAGUUCUGUUGCAGGCCGAGCCACACCCAGCCACCGCGCGCUGCCCUACGCCGGGCUGGCGUGAGCAUAGGCUCCGCCUGGUCGGCCGCACUCGUCGCGCGCCGGCCUCCCUGUCGCCGGAGCUCCCUGUUUGGCGGAUCUGGGUCAGUCCCUUCUCCUAGGAUUCAGGUGGGACUUUAAGGCAUCAAUGACCGCCGUCUGUCGCUGCCUCCGUCGUCCUGACGCGCCGAGCCCCGGCCUCAUCUGGACUUGGAUGUACCCCCCUAUGCGCCUGCCGUGUCCGGCGCGGCCGGCCACCCGAGCCCUGCUAGCUCCGGGUAAGACUAUUUUUAGAUUCCAGCACAGUAGCUUAGCUUUCCGGCCACCUUCCCGGUGUUCGAACGACUCCCCGAACGCCAGGAGGUGAGGCACGGUGAUCAUUGGGUUGUGCUUGAACACGAUUGCUCACUCUGUGAGGGGUUACGGGAUGCCGGUAUAGCGGGUUUAGGUAAGAUUUCAUGAUCAACCGCCCUGCGCGGGCGUUUUUGUUUUCGUCUGAAACGAUCGCGCCGCAAUCCGUGCGCGCGCGUGUUAGACGGCGGCAGUUGCUCCGAAUGGUGAGCACGGGCCUCAGGCAUGCUGAAACUCUUAGCGAGCAAGGUGUGAGUCACCCUUCGUUGAUCCCUGGUCUUGCUUAUACGGACUAGUCGGAGCAUGAAAUACAUUAAAAUGGAUGUGGAUUUCAUGUAUCGUUAGGAAUUGUAUGCCGUUCGCUUUGUUGUAGCUGUUGUUGGCGGCAGGUGGGCUGGGCCUAAUGGACUGGAUUGUCAAGGCCCGACCCUUUGCGAGAUCGAAAUGCAUUUCGGUGGUUUUUCGCGAAAAAUCCGCCGAGCGGAACGCAGGGUUCGGUUCGGAAUUUAUUUCGACGAUGCUUUGUGAGCUAUUGUGUAGUCGCUGAGCCUUGUUGGGGUCACAUUCAUCACAUUGUGAGGUUCGGUAGAUUGAUGGUAGUGCAGCGAGGUGGAUUCAGUGUCGAAAUAAGAACUGUCCGGGAACCCGAGAUUCGCACAAAUUAUCGGCGAAUAAUUGUGUAGGGGGUGUUAUCUUGUGUGUUACUACCAAAAACUCCAAAUUGGAGUGUUGGGGCAACAGGUGAAUCGUGCACGAGUCGGUGAGUUCGGGAACUUAAGUGGAAUCCCGACUGGCGGUGGUGUGUUUCGGGACUUCGGUGAGUUACGAUGCAUCGGUUUUUGGGAAACGAUACGGGGUUCUGUGUGGUGGUUUGUGGACGUGUAUGUUCAAGUGGUGGGUUGGUUUACUGAACCCGUGCGGAUUCGUUAGGUGCACGGUCGACUUGUGAGUACGACAGUGUUCCGAGCGCAGAGUGACAGGUGGGUACUUCGUCCGAAGAUGUCCGGUACAGUGGGUGCACGCUCAGGUGAUAUUUUUCGCUAUCCCUAUUCUUCUGUGCUAUUUUUCGUAUUAUAUAUUGGAGCUUGCAUCCCGUCGUUUUAUUAUUACUAUAAUAUAUUGUUUCGUAUGUAUUAGUUAUGUGUAGGAGUAGAGUAAUUAUCCACUUGCUGAUAUCGGUAGACCUGAUUGGUCUGUUUCUCGUACUUUUGUUCGGUGACCUUUGAUGUGUCGGUUUCAGUAACUUUUCGUUUUUUUUUUCGAGUGACCUAUGAUCGGGAUGCUUUUAUCUUAUAUCUGUUGACCUGGUGAUUGGUCGGUUGUUGCUUUAUUGUAUUGGGUUGGUCUUUCUUGAAUUCUGUUGUUCGAUGACCUUUGAUGUCGGUGUACCCUGAGGGAGUAGGAUUGUUCGGCUAGGUGCUGACGGUUUAGUUCUGCGACUAUAUCAUUACACUCCUGUGACCUAUCGGUCGGUUUUGCGUUCGUACUUUAGUGAACUCGAUUCAGUAUCUUAAUUUUAUUCUUUUUAUUUACUCUGCUCUGGUUGUUCUAUGUGUGUAUCCUGUAUGGAGUAGAUAAGAUGGCAAUUCGAUUGAUAUAUACUUGUGACCUGGUUGGUCGGUUUCUCCUGUUUGCAAUCGGUGACACUGUUUGGUCAGGUUGUUUACUUUCGAUAUUGACCUAUCAUCGGUCGGAUUUCACGUUGUUACUUGAUGGACCUAACGGUCGGUAUGCCCAGAGGGCAGUGAUUGUCGGCUGAUUGCACGGUUGAGCUAUUGGAAUAUGUUCGCAUUGAUCGGCCACAGUCGAGUGAUUUUCACGUUACACCAGCGCGGUUGAUCCCCGCCAGGAGGGUGUUCUUAUUUCGAAAAGUGCGUCGUACAUGACCCGUGAGAGCAGCGGUGUUCUCUUUGUAGCUAGGGUUACAUGCAGGGUGUGAGCAGAUAGUGGCUUUUUCCUGAGGUCCUUAGCCCGGACACGGCGGUUUAGAUUGGUUACUUUUGGGGACUUCGUCGCGGUAUGACGGCAUAUAGCUUAUAGUAUGCCGGUUGUUUGCAGUAUGUACUUCCAAGUUCUUUUCUUUACAGUUGUUUGCUUACAUUAGUAUUGAUAUCCUGAUUGUAUGCAUGAGUUGUACUUACAGUAGCGGUAGUUGUGUUAUUCAUAUUAUAUAUUCUCGUAUCAGUCCAUUAUAGUUGAUAGUGUUAUUUUACUUACCAUAUUGUUUGGUUAUCUCUUCUGAUUCGGGUGAUGUACUCCUCGCCGUCUUUCGGCUUGCGGUACCCACUGGGAGGGGAGACAUGUUUACUGUUCUCACCGUCCCCACCAUUUUUCACGGUAUCGUGGGCGUUGAGUAGUUGGGACGCAGACGUGAGGUACGUGUGUAAGCGGUUCGAUAGAGCUUCCGACCAGGUUAUUUUCGAUUUAGCUAUUACCUUUUAUUUAUGUGGCAUAUUUAUAGCUAGUCGGUCUACAUGUGUUUCAGUUUUGUUUUAUUAAUUGAAAUAUCUAAGUUUUCGUGGUUUGGGAAUGUAAUAGGAAUUGUGAUUUCUUUGAAUAAAAGGUUUUUACACUCGUCGGUAGCGUUUCUUAAAAGAAUAAGGUUUCCGUGUAGGGACAGUUUUCAAAGAAUUUUUGUGAUUUUCUAUUUAAACAUCUGAAUGUAAAACUGUUGAUGUGAUUGAUGUAUGUAUGAAUGUUAUAGUUAUCUUAUAUUCAUCUGUUGUGGUUGUAUCCUGGUCUUGUACUGUGUAAUUUUGAUCAGACGCCGUGCAAAUAAUAGGCGGAGCUUGCUCCUGUGACAGUGGAUUCCUGUAUUGUGGCUGGAAUCUGGCAUACCUGGGGUCGGUUUUCAAAAAGAAAAAAAAUAUUCAGUCGUCUUUCGCUUUGUUUUAAACGUGAAAAGGACCCCGGGGCGUGACAGUUUUGUUGUGAACUACCUUGGGUUUAUUAAUUAUCUAGGAAUUAAACUAUAUAUGAGGAUUCAUAUUUUAUUUUUUUUAUUAUUGUUCAAAAUAAUCUGUCUUAUAUAACUUAUAUUGUUCAAUAUUUAUGCGAAUAAUUGACGGGAAGGGCCAUCCAAUUUGCAAAGACAUUCCUAGAGAUAUUGUUAAGUAGAUCCGUAAACAGGACAUUGUGAGAAAGUAUUCUCAAAUAUGUUUCAUAUUUAAUAAUUUUUUAAAUUUUUUAAUUCUUUGGAGACCAAAAUCAGAACUUUAGUUCUUUUUGAUUCAAUCUUAAAAUAAUUUUAAAAAUGGAAUCUAAAUUUUUAUAUUGUUGGAAUGCUAAUGUGCCAUCUCCCGCAAUCCUACGUGGUCCGCGGGCGGGUACUUCAUGGGGACGGCUGAGGGAGCUGAGGGAGGAGAAGGGUAUGGACCCCUCUUCCUCUUUGUUGAAUCAAUUAUAUAUAUAUAAUAUAUAUAUAAUAUAAUAUAUAUAUAUAUAUAUAUAUAUAAUAUAUAUAUAUAAUAAUAUAUAAUAUAUCNNNNNNNNNNNNNNNNNNNNNNNNNNNNNNNNNNNNNNNNNNNNNNNNNNNNNNNNNNNNNNNNNNNNNNNNNNNNNNNNNNNNNNNNNNNNNNNNNNNNUGGGAAAGAAGAAGAAGAAGAAGAAGAAGAAGAAGAAAAAGAAGAAGAAGAAGAAGAAGAAGAAGAAGAGAGGAAACUGAGAGAUGAGAACAAUAAUGAGGGAAAUAGUGUUAUUAUAUAUAUAUAUAUAUAUAUAUAUAUAUAUAUAUAUAUAUAUAUAUAUAUUUCCCAUACAGAGAAAUAAAUGAUUAUUAUACAAGAAAUAAACAAUAUAUCUUCUUAGAAAAUUAAUUAAGAACAAAAGUAUAAUGUUUGUAAAUAUUAAUGAUAUAUUUAAGCUAAAAGUAAAAGAACCAAUAUUAUUAAAAGGAACUAUAAAGCAAACUUCUUGCCACUAUUUAUUUUGAAAUUAACCCUUAAUGAUUUUUUAUUUAAAAUGUUCAGUGGAUUGAUGAUAUAUUGAGAGCUCCAAAGUAAUAGUCUAUUUUUAUUUUUUUUAAUAUUUUUCCUUAAAAUCGAGUUUUUCUAAAAUUUAGUUGUGGACCCUCUGUGGUUAAUUUGUCUUUCUUUAGGGUUAUAACUAUAUUUUAUUAACUUUAUUCCUUAAAAUCGAGCUCUUAAUUAAUUUUUGUAUUUUUUUACAAAAUAAAAUAUUUAACUAGAUAUUUUUAUUUCUAAAUUACGUUGUCAAUUAUUAGUUGGAUUUAGUUCGUAUUAUUUGUUUUUUAGAUGGAUCGUAUAUUUGGAAGGGCUAUAAUUUUCUAAGAAAUACUAAAUUUAGAACUGGGGUUGACAAAUGAGCGAGCCAAGCUUGUGUUCGGUUCGCUCGAGAUCGAUUCAAAAUUAAAUGAGCUGAGCUUGAAUAGAAAAUAAAACUCGAAAUAUAUUUCAAGCUGGGCUUGAGUAUAUAAUAUGUAUAUUAAUUAUAUGUGCAUAGAGUUUAAGUUAUUGGGCAUAUUUGUUGGCCCACAAAAUCAAAACAACAAAACCUUACUCUUAAGUAUUCUCUGUCCCUCUCUUUCACUUGCUUAUAAUGUCGCUUUACCUAAAUUAUUUUCUUAAUAUUAUAAUAUCGUAUUUCAUGCAUUUAUUUUGUAUAUUAAAUUACUAGACAUAUUUUUCGUAUUAAAUUUAAGAUAAUAUUUAUAAAAUUAAACUAUAAAUUAUAUGAUUUAAGAAUUUCAAGCAGCUCAUUUAGGGCUCAAGCUCGCUCGACUCGAAGUUAGGCUUGCUCGAGCUUGGCUUGAAUUAAUUUCAGCCGAACUUGAGCCUAAAUUUAGGCUCGAAAUUAAUUUCAAGCCAAGCUUGAGCUGAGAUAAGCUCGCUCAAGCUCGACUCGUUUCCGGUUUCCACCCCUAUUUAGAACUAAGAAGAGGUAUAAUCUUAUAAUCCUUCAUCCUAGUGCUAUAAUCUUAUAACCUUUUUUGUGAGGGUUACAAUUUUUUGGCGAAUGCUAAAUUUAGAACCAAAAAGGACUAUAAUCUUAUAAUCCUUGUUCCUAGGGCCUCCUAAAAUUUAGUGAACUAUUAAAUGGUCCUAAUGAUGGUGUUGUUGGAUUCCUAAAAAUGGUGCUAUAGAAUCCCUGGGUUAUUUUUAAGGGUAAUAUCAGAUAUCCAAUGGAAAAUAAUUGGUCCUAAUGAUGGUGUUGUAGGAUUCCUAACAAUGGUGUUAUAGGAUCCUUGGGUUAUUUUUAAGGAUGAUAUCAGAUCUCCAGCUCACUUCGCACUGUAAUUCUAGCACUCCCUGCAGGCUACUGCCAAAAGUUUUUUUUGUCUACUCAUUUUAUCAUUUGUUUAAUUAAAAAUAAAAAAAACAAAGGUUAGCAAAUCCUAAAGAUUAAACUUUACAACCUUUAGACGAGGGAUUGUAGAGUUCAUAAUUUGGUUGUAGACUAUGCUUUUUUCCUUUUUAUUUUUUAGUGUCAAUGUCACCAAAGUCCGAACGCCCUAAAUAAUAUUUAAAAAAAGCACGUUUCCUGCACAAGCCAUCCCGUACAACUUGUGGCAUAUAUAAAAGAGAGAAAUCAUUGCCAGGUCAAUUUUACUAGACCCAAUAAAUCAAACCGCAGGUUGGUAGAAGCUAUGUUAUUGACUCCUUUCACCAGGUGGCGAAUCCAUUUUUUGUUAGUAGCUGUGUGUCGCAUUCCAACUGGAUGGAUAUACGGAUGACCGAGUAGACGAGAUGAUUUUACAUCUUGUUUGAUAUACUUGGAGAGGAGAGAGGGGAUGGGUCGAUUCUUAGGCUGCUAAUGCAAUUAUAGGGGACCUACUUUAGAUUAGAGGUUGUAGAUACUCUCGUGGGCCUACCACGUUCAAAGUGGAUGUGAAGAUUCAAGGUCGAAGAUACUCUUCCAUUUCUUUUCAUCUUGUCUUGAGCAUUAAAAAUUUGUCCACUUCUUUGCUCUUGAAAAUUAUUUGCCCUUGUCUGAAAGAAAACUUGACUCAACGCAAUCUGGUUACUUUUUUUUUUUCCUUUUGUUUUUUCUUUUAAAAAGUCAUAGGCUUGCAUGCACCAGCAUAUUCAAGCUCCUAAGUGUAACUUGAAUAUGAAAUCCGUAAGUUUUUGAAGGAUGCCAGCCCUACAGUUAUUCUACAUAGGAUUUACAACAUCUAAUCAAAUAUUUUCAUAUUGCAUAAAGAUACAUAUUAUAUUUCCAACAUCAUUUGACUAUGAAAUCUCUCUUUUACAUCUGAUUAGACCUUCUUCUAUCCUGUGUGGCAUAAUAUGAUUGGCUUGUGGUAUAUUAUAUGUGGUGUAACUAUUACAACAAAUACUUCCUUUUCCUUUAGAUCACUGUUCUUAUGUAUUAAAGAUCAAUGAUAUUGACAUACAUAAUCUAGAGGUAUUACUUUGAUUUAUGCAUGUAUUUCAAGGUGCCAUGAAUUUGCUAAUACUUCUAUAAUAUUGUAUAAUAACCUGCUAUGGAAUCCAAAGGAUUUCGCGUAUGCAUUGGGUGGAAAUUUUUGGAAGUGCUGUUCCAUUUUUUAAGUAGAAUAUUGUUUUCAUAAGCUAUUGCUUUAUUAGUAUACAUAGUAUUAAAGUCUUUGACUGGUUCAUACAUAUAAGUUAAGAGCGUUAUAUGUAUUAGCCAAUAUUUCAACAAUUAUUAAAAACAAUAUUCUUGAGAACUUCUUAAUUUAAUUCCACGUGCUAAAUUUACACCAGUUGGUUUACAUUAUUGUAUUUUAUGUUGACAGUGCAUCAUUGGCAUCCCUGACCCGGGAGAAUGGUCCCAAUGUGGUGAAAGGUGAUCCAGCAAGAAAGGGUGAGACCACACCCAAAGUAAGCUCAGCGCACUACCACCGCUUCGUGCCCAACCUCAAUGUCACCGACAGUUACCUCAAGUUCACCCAUUUCCUCCACAACCUCUCCCCUGCUGGUAUGCUUGCUUCUUUUAUCUUAUUAUUGCAGCUUCCAAUCAUUAUGUUUAGUUGGUAACAUUGUAUCCUCUCCCCUGCUGCUAUGCAUGGCUCUUUUAUCUUAUUAUCGCAGCUUCCAAUCAUUAUGUUUAGUUGGUAACAUAUGUAGAGUUGUAGACCCCUUUACUACAUGAGAAAUUUUUGCCAACAACCCCAAAGAUGCAUCUGUACUACGCGUGCACUGCAUACACUGUAUCCUGCUGUCCCCUCAUUAUAUCUCAUGCUUCAAUUUCCACCAUUUAUUAUUCACAACGAAUUAUUUGUGGUGGUUGGAUGGCGGAGAUUGUAGUAUGAGAUAUGAUGGGGGUUUGGACGAUUGUGGAAGUUAUGGACGCAAAAAACAGUUUCCUCUCAACUAUGGGCUAUGUUGACCCCAGAAUAUCUUGGAUCUGACAACCCCUCUACAUUCAGCUUUUUGAUUUUCUGUAAUUCAGUCUGUUGAGUUCAGAACUUUGUUUAAAUCAAUAGCUUAUCUAUUCGACAGAAGAGCUAAUAGGAUCAUUAAAUUUGAUAGUAUCAUUGUUUAAUUUAUUGAAUAAUCAAUUUUCUUAGUUAAAAUCUCAGGUGUCUUCUCUGAAAAAGGGCAAAAAAAUCUUGGGUGGAAGUUGGGGGUUAUCGAUCAGAAAAUACUGAAAUCCCUUGGGCCUAUUUUGAUAUGUACUAUAGUUGAGAGCAUCGCCGUAAACUUUUACAGUUUUGCUAGGAUGUUACUCACCAUUAAUGUCCUUAUAUAUAUCCAUGUGCAUGUAGAAUUGUACGAGCAAGCCAUUAGGUAUGAGAAGGGUUCAUUCAUUACGUCCACUGGUGCAUUGGCGACCUUGUCGGGAGCCAAGACGGGUCGUUCUCCGCGGGACAGACGAAUCGUGAAAGAUGACGCCACCACCGCCCUCGAGCUCUGGUGGGGAAAGUAAGAAUUCUCACUCUCACCUUUUUUUUCUGAAAUUAUUGUUCUCGUUUGAAAUUUUAUUCAUGUCUUUAAAUCUUCAAUCUUCUUUUUUGACCUGUAUUUGUGUAGGGGCUCACCAAACAUUGAGAUGGAUGAGCACACAUUUCUCGUCAACCGAGAGAGGGCCGUUGAUUAUUUGAAGUCUCUGGAGAAGGUACUAGCAUUGCCCUGUAUGCCACCCUAUCUUACUGUCCAUCUAUUGUCCAACAUUAUCUAGGAAAUUAGGUCUUUAAUCUUUUGUAUGUUACUAGUUGAUUUCUAGUACAAAUCUAAUGUUAUUAUUCCUAUUACAGUUAGGAGAAAAGAAAACAAAAUAUUGUGGCUUGGAAAUUCCUUAAUCAUGUAGAGUAUAAAUAACUAAAACACUGUUAUUUGUUAGAUUAUGCUGUUAAAAAAGUUCUUUUAGGUCUCACCAAGAGAUUCUGAAUGAAAUUGUUGGAGACUCGUAGUGUCAUUUAAUUCAAAUCCGCUAGGUGGGAUCAUGGUCAAAAUUGGCCUACACACACGGGGGAGUGUGAGUAUCAAUGAUUAGGUUACUCUUUAUCUUUCUUCUUUCAAAAGAAAGAAAAAAAAAACUUUGUUGGUAGUGACUAAGGACCCACUAAUCAAAUAUUAACUAGAGAAUCAAGAUACUCGUUUCUUUAAGCUUAAGUCGAUAGAAAUAAUGGUUGUUUCAUCAAUCCUAACUAUGAUGUAGUAUGGUCUAAACAUACAUCUCCGUCAGUGGACCUAUUCUCUUGUAAUUUAUGGCCUAUUGAUUUCACUGUCACAUGCCCUUAGGUAAGACGCAGCUCAAUGACAUAUGCCUCCAAAAUUCAUGAUUAGCAUGAAAAUUCAGCAUACCUCGUCAAACCUCAGUCAUUCUUUCAAUAUACGUUGGCCUUGGUGUAUGUUUCUAAUUGAAAUUGUGUAUAUUGAUAAAUGACUAUUCUACACGUUUGAAUAGUGGUCCUGAUUAAUAUGCUUGUCCUCUUAAGUUCCUGGCAUUUUCUUCACGUGUGCUUCCCUCCCAUUCAUCAUCCCCAUUUAGAUUCGCUCCAUCACGACAAAUUUCCAUGCUUGUAAGAUUUGUAUAGUGUGCACCGGUGUCUUGAAAGACUAUUUUGCUACUAUGCUAUUGCUCUUCUCAUCGAUUCCAGAUGUUAUGGGUAUUCAAACAUGAUAUAAAGUCAAGCAAAGCUCUCCCUCUUCUCUUUUUUAGGUGUAUGUAAAUGAUCAAUUCCUGAACUGGGAUCCCGAGAACAGGAUCAAAGUCCGGAUUGUCUCCGCAAGGGCGUAUCACUCACUCUUCAUGCAUAACAUGUAAGCAUUUAUAUUAAAACUUUUAAAUUAAUUCUCCAGCCCUGGCUCAGUACCGUUUCCCAGAUAAGUCCAUCUUGACGUUGCCUACAUUAUAUUAACUAAAAAUAUUAGUUAAAAUAGUAAAACUCCUCUUGCCUUCUGAGACAGUGGGGAUCAAUAUCUUGAGACUUGAGUGAAAUACUUGGUACACAUAGCUGUUGUAUGUACAUACGAUAACUGCGUGGGUGACAGGUGUAUCCGGCCCACGCCUGAAGAGCUAGAGGACUUCGGCGAUCCGGACUUCACAAUAUACAAUGCGGGCCAGUUCCCGUGUAAUCGUUACACACACUACAUGACCUCCUCGACCAGCAUAGACGUUAACCUUGCGAGGAGGGAAAUGGUUAUCCUCGGCACACAGUAUGCGGGGGAGAUGAAGAAGGGUCUUUUCAGUGUGAUGCACUAUCUCAUGCCUAAAAGAGGAAUCCUCUCGUUGCACUCUGGAUGCAAUAUGGGCAAGGAUGGUGACGUGGCACUCUUCUUUGGUUUAUCAGGUAAGUUGAAAUACGAAAUGGAUCAACAGAUUGUGGUGCCCGUACCCGCCUGCCCACCUGCAUCCACACUUUUUCUUUUGCCCUCUUGGAAUUAAAUCCUAUUGAUUAGUAGUACCUCGAUAAUGAGUAUAUGAAUGGUGAUGCUAUAAUCUUUUACCAUACUUCUGUUAUGUCUGAAACUUCCCUUCUUGUAUAUCUUUUCCAGGUACUGGAAAGACCACACUGUCCACAGACCAUAAUAGACUCUUAAUCGGCGAUGAUGAGCAUUGUUGGAGUGACAAUGGUGUUUCGAACAUUGAGGGUGGUUGUUAUGCAAAAUGCAUUGACCUGUCCCGGGAAAAGGAGCCUGAUAUCUGGAAUGCCAUUAAAUUUGGAACUGGUGAUUAAGUUGCUCUUUUGCUCUGUGUACCUCCUUUUGAAUUAAUUCCCUACUGGCUAUCAUUCAGAUCCCUUUAUGUACUUUUUGGUUGUCAUUCAGUGUUGGAGAAUGUGGUUUUCGAUGAGCACACUCGUGAAGUGGAUUACACGGAUAAAUCUGUCACAGGUAACACAUUUAGAUUCAUCUCGAGAUGAAGAUCUUAUUCAUGAUCUUGGAAGCUAAUGAAUUCUCUCAAAGAUGCUGUAGAUGUUAUUGAAGCGUAAGAGUAAUUUGUGUUUAACAUGCAGAGAACACCCGGGCAGCUUAUCCUAUAGAGUUCAUCCCUAACGCAAAGAUGCCCUGUGUUGGGCCUCAUCCUAGGAAUGUUAUUCUCUUAGCAUGCGAUGCCUUUGGCGUCCUACCACCUGUUAGCAAGCUGAAUUUGCCUCAGACUAUGUACCAUUUCAUCAGUGGCUACACUGCUCUGGUACACAGAAACACUCAUUAUGUUUAACCCUUGAAAUCUAUUUUAUUGAAACUUAAUCGGAUCGGAGAAGAGUGUCAAAGCUGUUUGAUUUAUCUGUUGUGUUGGUCAUGGAAAAUAUGUAGGUGGCUGGCACAGAGGAUGGUAUUAAGGAGCCGCAGGCUACUUUCUCAGCUUGCUUUGGGGCGGCAUUCAUUAUGCUGCACCCUACCAGGUAUGCGGCCAUGCUUGCCGAGAAGAUGCAGAAGUAUGGUGCAACAGGAUGGCUCGUCAACACUGGCUGGUCUGGUGGAAGGUACCCAUUUUAGAUUUUGGCACGAGUAAAGGAUUUCAGAAUUGUUUUAAAAAUUAGUCCUGGAAUUUUGGCUCUGUUUGAGUUGUGUUCUGGGAGAUUCAGAAACAAUUUAAUUUCUGCAGUUUGAUCUUUGUGAUGACGAUAGUAGUUCUAUGUGCCUACGGUUUGAAAACGAUGCAAAGCAGGCGUCAUCGUUUUAGUCUGUAGGCAUGACAACUUUUUGGAGGUUUCAGUUUUAUGAUGACGCAGCUCUUCCACCCCCACCCCCCCUCGGUUCAAAAAAUGUGCAGCUUUUCUUGAUUGUAGGUGAAGGGUAGAGCUAGGGAUGUACUGUGGGCUGCGCCGGGCCGGCAUGGCCCACAUUUACCCGGGCCGAAAUGGGCCGGAGAAAUAGGCCUAUCUCCCAAGGGUCUGUCAUAGCAGACCAAGCAGACCCUUGGGAGAGCCCCAAAGCCUAAACCCAACUCGGCACCUGUUUGGUUCGGGGUUAAGAGGUGGAAUAACCCCUUGAUCCCGAAGUUAUUCCCAAACACCUAAUUUGGGGAGUGGGGUUACCUAACCCAACCCCACCCCACUACUCCAAUCAAACAAAACACUAUUUUAUCCACUAUCCUUCUUAUCUUAUCUACUCCAAUCAAAUACUAUUUUAUCUAUAGCUGGACUAAAUCCAAUUCUCAAUCAAACACAAAAUUACUCUAACCCCACCUUAACCCUGAACUUAACUCUAUCCCUGGAAUAACAAGUUUUUACUUUAACCUUGAACCAAACGGUGGAGCAUUGGGAGUUGGGGUGGUGCAGGGGGCCUUGGGAGUUGGAUACAACUCAACUCUCUGCCCGGGCCCAGCUCGGGAGGCACGGGCCGGGCCGGGCUGUGUCUGGCCAGGGCAUCCCCUCAAGCCCGGCACAAGUGCUAUGGUGCUCGUGCCAUGCUUGGCCCGGCCCACUCUUGUGCUGGGCCGACCGGCCCGUUUGACACCCCUAGGUAGAGCUCAGUUGUUAUGUAGAACAAAUUUUAGCUACUUUAAUUAUUUUAAUUAAAUUUGUACGCAGUUUAGUGGAAUCAGGAUGAAAUUUUUUGGGGACCAACAUUUGCAAAUAACCCCCGAAUCUAAUUGUUGUUAGUUGUUAUCUUUUUUGACAUGCACUAUUCUCGCUUUCUUUUGUUCCAGGUAUGGUGUGGGCAAGCGGAUCAAGCUGCAGUACACGAGGAAGAUCAUUGAUGCCAUUCACUCUGGCAAACUUCUCAAAGCCAACUACAAGAAAACUGAUGUGUUUGGGCUGGAGAUACCAACUGAGCUGGAAGGAGUGCCGUCAGAGAUUCUCGACCCGAUAAACACUGUAAGAUGGCCUUUUCAAGAAUGUAUCUUCCAACAGGUAAUUUUCUUGUGGUGUAUGAUGUGGGUGUUUGUUGGUUGUUAUGAUGAUAGUGGGAGGACAAGGCAGAAUAUCGGGAGAUGCUGCUGAAGCUGGCGGGGCUGUUCAAGAAGAACUUUGAGGUGUUCGCGACCUACAAGAUUGGCAAGGAUGGCACGCUCACCGAUGAGAUCCUCGCUGCUGGCCCAAACUUGUGAGGCGUCAAUCCUCAUCAAAAUUAAGCGGAAGGAGAGGGUGAGGCAUAAAAAGUGGGAGGAGGAAGAAAUCUAGCGGUUGAAAGUGUGAUAUGGUAAUAUGUAGGGGAGUAGCGUAUGUUUGUUUCAUCUGCAAUGUCAAUUUGGUUGGUUUAUAUAUUUAUGCUAAAUUAGGAUCAACAAAUGCUGCGUGGGGUAUGGUAUAUGUUAUAUAUGAAAUCAAUGCAAGUUCGGUGUUAAUCAUAAUCAUCUCUCUCUGUCCAUUCUGCGUCAGGCUAAUUCUAGUGCGUCUGCUAAAUAAGACUCGGGAUUUCGGACCUGCACACUCUUUGGUCCACAGAAUUAUUCUCUUUGCAAUGUAUCAAGACCCCCACAGCUAUUUUGAAAUGAUUCCAGAAAAUUAUUUUUCUAUUUAAUAUCUACUCAACUUUUAUUUUAUUUUACUUCAGGUUAUUUGCGAUUUAUUUUAAUAACUUUAUGAAAGGUGUUUCAGAAGCUAUUCAUCAUUUAUUACUUUUUACUCACUUGAGGUAGUUGAAGUCAGUCACAAAGUUGAGGGGCUUAUUAACCCACCCAUAGUUUUAUGCUCAAAGUUGUUGCCUGCAGACAUUAUCUGCAGCAAGUCUCAACACAAAAACUUUACACAAAUUAUACGGGGGAACAAAGAAAAAGAAAAGAAAAGAAAAAAGAUGAGGAGGAAAGCAUACAAAUGAGCCAUUUAUGCUCUACCUGAUGCUAGAGCAAAACAUCGACACACAAACACACACAUUUGAGGGACGGUUCAUUCUAUACAGGAGGCCCUCCUCAGAAUGCUAAACUAAACAUUUCACUAGGACGUGUACUAGAAUCCUUAUAUAGAAAACGAGGGGAAAAUUGCAAUGUUAGUAAAGUCAACCUACUGGUCAAUAACAGCUUGACGAACUGCUUAAGGUGUCUUCUCAAACACCGAUAAAUCCUCUGCUAUGCUUCUCAAACACCGAUAAAUCCUCUGCGCUGUUUUCAUUUUCCGUGGUAUUCCUACCCACAGAAUGCAGUUCCAUCUCCUCUGGCAACGGUUCGGACUUUGUUAUUGAUUGUUCAUGUUCUCUUUGGUUCUCCUCAAGAGGAUGAGGUGAUGAUUUAGUUACAGUGACUCCUUUGGCUUUGAUCUUGGCCUCAAUGGCCCUGAUCAAAGAUGCUGCGGCCUUGGGAGGAACGACACGUGCCCCACAUGCAAUGGCAGUGGCAUGAACUAAAGGGUUGGGCCCUCUAUAUUGGUCGGAGUGACCAGAUGGAGCUAGAUUCUGCGAUUGCGAGACAGGUUGUUCUGCAGGGCAAGAAGAGAGAGGGAGUGCUUCGACAGGAGUAGCCACAAGUGUGUAAGACCUGCCUGGUGUCGCUGCUGAUUCACCCACAUUAAAAAUAAAUAAUAAUAAUAAGUAGAGCCGUUAAGUAAUUGCUGAAAGCAGAUGGUGAGAAAUAGAGAGACGCAUAUUAUGCAUAAUGCAGGUUCCAUAAACUGAGAAAGUCGUGAUAGUACAUCUACGAUAGUAUAGCACAUGCACGCUCAAGUACCUUUGAUAAAACUACUACUUUCUUACAGGUUCUUUAGAAAUAUCACGUUUUCCCCAUUUUCAAGAAUAGGUAACAGUGCAUCAUCCUUUAAUGACCCUUCUUGGCUCGGUUUCCUAGAUUGAUGAAAAUAAAGCAAAACAAGAUCAUGGUACAUGCAUGCAGUUAUACUGCAGUUUGAAAAAUAAAAAACUCUUGAUAAUGAUUUAGUCAUAAACAAGUAUUUACAUCCGUAACAUGCCUUUUCCAGGUAUUUUCUCAUCAAACAGAAAUAUUUCUUUUUCCACCAAAAUUUUAGGCACUAUAUAGGGUAAGUUGAACUUACUGUGAAUUUACAUUGAUUACUUGGAUAAUGUUCUCAAUCCUAGUCAAAAAAAUGUUCUCACUCCCACAAUAUCAUUGCAGCAAAUAAGACUAAAAGACCUAAUUCUUUGGACAUUAAUCUGAGUAGGCAAGCAAAACAAUUUUAACCGGGUUAGAACUAGUCUGACAAGUGACAAAGUAGGCAAACUUCUAAAUUAACGGUUUGAUAAACUGGGAGAACUAAUUUUAACUCUGCUGUAUCAAAUAACAACAAUUGUCUAGAUUUGCCACUCCUAUACCGAGCAGAUUUUUCUUUCCCCCUCAAAUCUUGAUCACCAAAAGCUUAGUAGUGUAAAUGAAAUAUAGAAGAACCAAGGACAAAGUUGCUGCCUUACUCGUGAAUUUUAAAAUAAACUUGAAAGGAACAUAGGUUAAAAGUCAUGGCGGUAAGUAAUGUUUUAUCUUCAAAGCUUGACAUUCAUAAAGAGUUUUGAGAACCAACAGAAUGGUAUCCAGUAGACAUUUAGUGGAAGUUUUCAAACACUCGGCUCAUUCUGAUAUCUGCCAUUCUGUGCUCAACAUUACAGCUUCAAGUAAAACUACCACAAGACAAGUAAAUUCUAAAAUCCAACAUUCAUAUAUCCUCACAGAACUUGAAACAGUUACUACAUGCGCAUGGCAUACAAAGAUUACAAGUAAAUUUAAUAAAGUGAAGUUUAUUAACUUAUAGUAUUAAAAUGGGACAAAAAGGAUAAGGAUGGUAACCUGCACAAGCUGUUGGUAAGCUUCCCAUAACAGGCAUAUACAGUGUGACUGGAAGUGCAGGAACAGCCACCAUAUUUGCUUUUGAAGGUCCAGAAAUGCUUCUGUCGCUACACUGUAUUAUGCUGAUUUGGCCAUCGCCGACCUCCUGCAAAUGUCAAAAAAAAAGAUUUUUGUUUAUUUAAAAAAAAGGCAAUGCUCGUAGAUGUAAUGACUAGAAAUAGGUUUUGUAAAGAAAAAAAAAAUAAUCAAGGAAAAGAAGACCAUGGAGAGGACUUUUUAGAGCCUGAAAUAGCAAGUUACUAAGAGGUCUCUGAGAUUAUUUGUAGUAUAAAGGUUAAUGACUACUUGCAACAAUUAAGACUAAUCACAAGCGGAUUUCUAGUGAUAAUGUUGAAAUAAGCGUAAUAAGCAAUUUAUUUGGAUAAUAAUCAGUCAGCAUGAAGAUAACACAUAGAUUCAAUACUUUACAAGUGUUAGAGGUAGAUACCUGAGAAUUCUGGGAAGAUCCAGAUCCAUUAACAUGCAUAUCUUUAUCAGUUGACUGCACUUCCCUUUUGUUUUCUGUAGGCAAAUCCAAAUCUUCUGGUCUAUCUCCACCUUGCCCUCCUGUAGAUGAUUGUGACACAGAGAUAAAUAAUUAAUUAAUUAGCAACAAAGUCAAACAGAGUCUUCAGACCCAUUAACUACUAAGGGAAGUGAAAUAUACCAUUUGAAGGAACACUUAGCAUCACCGAGCCUUUAGUAGAACAAUUAGAUGAGCCUGAAUUGCCUAAAAAGUUCGAUGGGAUUAGCACAAGACUGACUGGCUGUUGCUGUAGAAGCUUGAGUUGCUGUUCUGUAUUUGCCAGUUGGACCUCAUUGGAACAUUGUACCUCAUUCAAAGAUUUUCCUUGUGUCGUGUUAGUAAAGUUACUUCUGUGGGAAACAAUAAAAGUAUGUUUCCUCAAAAUCCCUCUUUUAGCUGCAGAAACCUUCUCCACUGCCUCUUUCAAAGCAGACAUGGCAACAUUGUAAAUUUCUUCUGUCACUGACCCUUCUUGUGCAUAUUUAAUGGCUUCAUGACAUAACUGAUUAUAGAGAACUGUUAGAGAUUCACGAGAAGCACCACCUUGAGUCCCAUAAUAACAUUCUCCUUCAAUUUUUACCCCAUUAGGCCCUAGAUUGUCAUCUAGUGAAUUGAAUAGUUCUUUUCCAGAGCCAAUAUCCAACUGACCAUAAGGCACUUUCUUUGUAGUUAGUAAAUCAUGGUUAUGCUCCUUCUCGAACUUGGUCACCACCCAUUUUCCAGAAUUUACCUUCUUGACAAUGAUCAUUGCUUUGCAACCAAUUCUUGUUAUCAUUCUAGGGCGCUUGGCUUUUCCUUCAUCUGCACUUAUCUCCUUCUUCACCCUCAUUUCCCGAAAACCUUCUUUAGAACAAACAAUUUGGCGAGAAAUAAUAGAAUUAUCACGUCUUGACCGACAAUACUUACUUAUGCGUGCUCUAAAACCUGUACUUCUAGCAUAGUUUAUGUAGAACAACUUCGCCGCAUCUUCAGAAUCAAAUUCCAUACCCUCAAAUGGUUCUUGAAGAGUAUCACCUCCAAUAAGGUAUGGCUUCCCAAUCAAAUCAUGAUCAGGCCGAACUGACGUAAUCUCGGCUUUUCUUGGUGGCACUGGCCCGUGGUUGUGUUCCUUCACAAAUUUGGUAACUACCCAUUUGCCAGGUUCAAACUUUUUAACCAUAAUCAUUGCCUUGCAGCCAACCCUAGUGAUCGCUCGGUGCCUGUGUCUUUGCUCCUUUAAGAAGCCUUCAUGGGCACGCACUUCACGAAAACCCUCUUUGGAACACACUAAUCUCCGAGAAAUAAUAGAGUUGUCCCGCCUAGACCGGGUGUACCUACUGAUGCGGAUCCUAAAGCCAACAUGUCGCGCAUACGCACUGUAGAAUGCCCUAGCAGCUUCUUCUGAUUCAAACUCCAUUCCUUCACAUGGUUCCAUGUCUAUGUCACUUUGUGAUGCAACUAGUUUACCUCUAUCGAGGUCAUGUGCAGAUGAAGGUUCAAUAUCGAUGGAAACCAUGGAAACUUCCGUUUUGGCAUCUUCUGACUCAAUGUCAGCUUUGGCCUCACUAGUGGUGCUAAUUAGUUCACCUUCCAUUUCUGACAUCCACUGCCAUAGAAUGCACCAAAAUUUAGGAAAUAAAAAUUAUAGAUCCACAAAACAUGGUUCAAGAGAGAGGCGACAUAGUCAUCCAUGAUUAUUAAUCAUUGAAUUUGCAUAUGUAAUUAGCUUUGCAAGAACUUGUUGGGUAUUACAUAUUGACAGAUAAAAUAAUAAAAACAUCGUUCUCUGGUUGUUUCACAUGCUAUUAAUGCAAGAGUUCCCAAGAUUAAAUCUCACAAGGCUCCUAAUUUGGUUUAAUUUUCUCCCGUUUAAUUUAAGUCCACAUCUUGUGCUCAAAUCCCAGACAAGAGAGAGCGAGAGAGAGAGAGAGAGAGAGAGUGGACACAAAGAUAUGAAAAAUACCAUUCUCUAAUAGCUUAAGCUUUAUAGAAUAAUAGUUUUACAUUAAGAACAUUUUGCAGUGAAACAUAAUGUCUACAGCAGAUAGGCAGUUUUUCAGAAUUAGAUGCCAAAAUUAAAAUAAAAUGAUGGAAAAUUUACAGAUUGCAGACCCAUAAUGCAUACUUAAAUAAUAAAUAUAUCAACAUUCCUGGCACGCAGACGCGCUAACAUGUUGUAAUCCUCCCACUGCAUUGCAAGAAGACUAAUUAAAAACUCCCUCAUUAGGCCGAAAUGAUUACAACUUCUAAAACUGGUACCAAAAAAAAUAAAAGUAUGGUUUGCUUUAAAUUUGGAGGAGCAAAACUAUAUAUGGCGCAAACCCAUCAACCAGUCCCCCCAUUUUAGAUACUCGAAAGGGCAAAUAUUCCAACCAAAACCAACCUCCUUUUAAAGCCAAACAACAACAUUAAAAAGCUACUUUGUGUACCCGCAUUAGCUACUCUAAUGCUACUUUACAAGAAAGAACGUACUAAACUCAUCCAAAAAAAACCUUCGGCGACUCAGUUUAGAGCCAAUUACCUCGAUUGAGACGUAUGAAGCUCCGCGUUUAGGAGCUAAGAAUCGUCCUAAACCAUGGUCGAAAAUGGAGAGCCGGGACACCCUAGCUUGGUGAGCUAUGAUUCUACGACCACAGCGACCAUGGAAUGAGAGAUUCUGAGCUUCGAUCCAAGGAGGUGAAUGGUGUAGAGAGAGAGAUAGAGAGAGAGAGAUCGCGGAGGAGAGAGACAGAGAGAGAUGGAGAGGGAGGGAGAUGGACGGUGGAGGUUGCGAGGUGGGCGGAGAUCUCGAUGAAGGAAAGGGCAACGACUAAUGAGGGGUCACAAAUUAUUGCUGUCCGUUUUCUUGGGCCUUCAUAGGGCCCGCAGCUCGGCGUGAUAUCCAUAAUUCAUCUGAUGCCUGAAAUGGGAAAAUAUUGGGCCGAUUUUGCUUUCCGGAAUGUACUUGUUGGCCUCCAAUACGUUAGGCGAGAAUCGGUUGCUCGUAAAAUAUAUGGAUCGCCCCUGUACUAUCCCAAUAUUACAACUUUGUCCCGGUAAGUUUUAACUUGAACAACGGCAAUAUCUUUUACUUUUUCGCUGACAAAUAUAUAUUUUCUGACAAAAAUGUAUUUUUUUUUUAACUCUGCUUUGAACGCCUAUACUUUGGUAUUCUGUUUUGUUCGGCUUCUUGCCAUUUUUUGGUAAUAAAAAUUUAGUUUUUUUUGGAAAAAAAAAAAACAACGACAAUGUCAAUGAAAUACUAGAAGUUUAUAGAUAGAAAAUGUAAAGGCUAAAUUGCGAUUUGAUUCUUAAAUAAGGCACGUGACGCUUCGAUUCUCAAUUUUAAUUUAUUAUAAUUUUUUUUUCGAGUUUUCUUACAUUAUUAUAACUAAGGCUCACAACUUAAGUUAGUUAACUAAAUAUUAAUACGUCGCUAAAAAAAAGUAACGUAGUAGUUUUAUGAUUGAUUGUGCAAUAAUAAUUAAUAAAAUGCUAGUAUUUAGUCAGCUAAACUAGAUUGUAAAAUUGAAUUAUAAUAGUUUCUAAAGUUUGAAUAAAAAAUAAUAAUAAAUUAAAAUUUAAGGAUUAAAAUGUCACCCGCGGGCCGCGGCAUAGUUUGAGAAUUAAAAGUGAAAUUUAGCUGAAGUGUUUAUGUCUGGGAUAAAUGUAUAAAUGCUCAUGACCUUUACCACUUUGGCACCAUAAGAUUAAUGGAAUAGUUCAAUAAAUUUCUCCUCUAAAACAAAAGUAGUAAUUAAACAGUCGCAGCUUAUUAGUAGCCUUGUGAAUCACUGAAAUCAUGGGCAGCUCCCUAAUGAAAUUCAAACCAGCAUCAUAGUGCAUGUAGGCGAUAUGCACGCACAUACCUCACCCAAAAUGAGAAUCAAAGUCAACUUUUGCCAAAUGAAAAGAGAGUAUUUACUAAGGUUGAUUUGUAAAUAUCUAUUUUAUGUUUUGGAAGAUUUGAAAAAUUUAAUAUAAUUAAUUUUUUUUAAUAUCAUAAAAUUGUGAUGACAAUUGUCAUUGAAGAAGCAGGUAAACAUAGUAGUGAUUAUCCGGAUAACUUUAUUAUUAUUAUUAUUAUUAUAGCAUAAAAACUAUGGAAAACACUUUAAUAAAAUUUUAUAAACUUCUUAUUAAGAUAUAAAAAAAAGUAUUUUCAGCAGCAAACUAGACCUAUGCGCACACGGCUGUGGUGGACUACCCGGUGGCUUCUUUCUUGGGCCGUGUCAGUAGGACUAAAACUUGCGCUCGCAGAGGGGAACCAGCUAGCUGUCCCCCAUUCUAGUGAUCACGGUACAACAGAGAGCAAAUUCGUAAAUUCACCACGGGGCCCGAUAACCUUCGGGUACAACCUAGGGUAAGCAACAGCAACACCAACAGCAACACCAACAACUCACUUCCCUUCACCAUUCUCUGCCCCUGGGACAAUCCCCCCUCCUCCCCUCCCCUCCCCUCCCCCCACCACACUCACUAGCCUUUUGCGCCUCUGCUGCCGAUAGUCGGCGGCGAUUGCCGAGUUCGCCGCCGACUUUCUCACCUAGCCUCGUCACCACCGGUUUGUUCUCCUCCCCUCCUCUGUGCGUCAAUAUUCGCGUUCGUUCCUCGAAUUUUGUCUGCGUUUUUUUAUUACCUGGGAGUUUUUUUUUUUUUUUUUUUUUUUGCAAUCAUCAUUUUCUUGUAGGCUAAUUCUUGAUUGAUUUAUGCAUACCAAAAAGAGGGGAAUGGAAAACCUAUUCAGAGACUCUUCGGAUAGUUCCUCUCCGAGCGACCGCGGCGGCGGCGGCGACGAAUCGGAGCGAUCUCUGGAGCGAGAAAUUGCUUCUGAUGGGAGCUACGAUAGCCACGGCGAAGAAUCCGAGGAUAAGGGCGGGGGCGGGGAGGAUAACGACAAUGCCGAAGACAGGGACGGGGACGAUGAUCCGUCGGCGGAGGAGGAAGCGGAUGAUUCGACUGAGAAACCCGAAGCGAUUGCUGAUACCCAUGAGGACGGGAACAAUGACGACGAUCCGGUUCGCACACCGGAUGUUCAAUGUAUUCAAAAGAGGGAGUACUAUAGCGAGGAAGAAGACGAGGAGAACGAGUAUAUCCCGAAAGAUUUGGACGACGCCCUGACACCGAGGGUCGGAAUGGUGUUCGGAUCGGUCAACGAGGCCUUCGGCUUCUACAAGACCUACGCCUACAGGACGGGCUUCACCGCGGUGAGACGAACGAGCCAUAACCUCGACGGGACCCGAUACAGCUCCACCUUCGCAUGCAUCAGAGCCGGGAAGCCCACAUUCGAUCCGUACCGCAAGCUCGAUCCGUUCCCUCGGAAUCGAAGACGGCAAUCCGAUAAGAAGACGGAGUGCCGGGCCACCAUGGUGGUGAAGGAUGCGAGGCUGAAAAAUCGAUGGAGGGUGCAGUUUCUCGAGCUCAGGCAUAAUCAUCCGUGUGAGCCCGACAUGGUCAGGUUUAUGAAGUGCUUCAGAGAGUUGCCGGAUUCGGUGAAGGAGAGACAUAAGAUCAGCGAAGGGAAUCUUGGCGAAUCCCUUAAGAAGUCGUUCAAUGCAGCGACCCAAGGAAGGAGAUGCACAAUUAACCCUAGGAAGGGAGGUAGCAGGAUGGAAGGGGGGAUAAGGUUUAAGGCGGGAGAUAUUGAGGCUCUUUUGAAGUUCUUUGAUUCCAUGCAAGCGAAAGACCCAAACUUCUUUUACAAUUGGGAUCUUGACCAAGAAGGGAGGCUAAGAAAAGUUUUUUGGGCUGAUGCAAGAUCUCGAGCUGCGUAUCAUUUCUAUGGUGAUGUAAUCGCAGUAGAGACGAUGUGUUUUUCUGGUCAACCCGCUAGUCAUUUGGCUGCGCUUGUAGGAGUGAACAACCAUGGUCAGCUUGUGUUGUUGGGGUGUGCUGUGUUCUCCGAUGAAGCUAAGGAAACUUAUGCGUGGCUUCUCACGAAGUGGUUAAGGUGUAUGGAUGGUAAACCGCCGGAGGCGGUGAUUAUCCCAUAUUCUGAAGCGAUAGCAGAAGCAGUUGCAGAGGUAAUACCUGGUGCUCGGUGUCGCUUCUGUGUGUGGAAUAUCAUGAGAAAGAUUCAUGAAAGGAUGGUGCUUCAAGAUAGGGAUGUGAUAUGCUCCAAAUUCAAAAAGGUUGUUUUUGAUACCAUCACUAUUACGGAUUUCGAAAAUGUAUGGGGGAAAGUAAUUGAAAAACAUCGGCUCGGUAAUGAUGCUUGGUUGUCUUCCUUAUAUGAACAUAGGAAGCAAUGGGCGCCCGUCUUUGUGAAUCACUCGUUUUGGGCAGGUAUGUCUACCAUCAAAAGGAAUGAAAAGUUUGAUACCUUUUUUGAGGGGCAAAUGAGUUCGAAGACUUCUCUUAAAGCGUUUCUGGACCAGUACGAUGCUGUAUUGAAAAGCAGGUUAGAGAAAGAGACUUAUGAGGAUCUUCAGUCAUUUUAUUCUAGGCCACAGAUUUUAUCUGGUUUUCAGUUUGAGGAGCAGAUUGCUGAUCUCUACACGGUUAACAUUUAUCAGAAGUUUCAGAACGAGGUGAAACAAUUAAUGCAUGUUAUUUGCAAGGAAGCUGAUAGGAGCGGGCCCACAGUUACAUAUAUGGUCAGUGAGUUGGCAGAGGGGAAAAAGGUCGACUACACAGUUGUUUACAACAAUGCUGAGAAAGAUGCUUGGUGUAUAUGCCGAUCUUUCCAGUUUAGAGGUAUUUUAUGCAGCCAUGUGUUGGCUGUGCUGAGACAAGAGUAUGUAAUGUUGAUACCACCAAAGUACAUUCUUGACCGUUGGAAAAAGGAUUUUAAAAGAAUCCAUGUAACAACAAACUCACCAAAUGAGGCAAUGGUGCGGGACCUGCGAAGCUACGAUGAUGUGUACAAGCGUGGUCACCGAUUUUUUGCAGACAUUGUAGAUUUAGGAUCGUUGGAACCUGAAUUGAAGGAGUUUGUUUUGUCAGUUAUGAAGGAUGUGAGGGACAAAAUGGUCAGAUAUGUGGAGAUGCAGGCAGAGAGGUUAGUUGAUGUUAAUAUGGCUUCCACUGGCAAUGUUGUGAAUGUGAAUAUGGAAAAUGAGCAAUUGUCUAUGGCUCCAACUGAUUUCAUGCAAGUACACCGUACUGAUUUCCCACAGAAAAGGUUUAAUACUCAGAGGGAUAAGACUGUGGAGGAUGCAAAUAAGAGGUUGAACAUGCAAAGGGGCAUUUAUUUCACGAGUUCUGGCAUGCAUGUAAGUUUUAUUGGUUCAUCUCAAUUGUUUCCCAGAUUUGAUAAUCUGUAGACAGGCUUUAACUCAUUCUUUUGGUUUAAUAAUGGUCCUUUUUUUUUUUUUUCCUGAACAGGUGUAAAAGGACAAAUGCCAAGUACGUGCAACAACUGAUCUAAAAGCUUUAUAGUAGUGUUGUUCCAUCUCAUAUCCUUGUUGGUCUCUUCUUUAUCUCUUCAAACCAUUGUUUUAUUUUUCUGUUUAUUUCUCUUGAACCUCUCGCUGUACAUUCUCGCUUCUUAUUUCCGAAUGCUGCUAUUGGUAGGUUAGAUUUCUUUGCUCAACAUGUACCUUUUGGUGUAAACAUACUAGAUUGUUCUGCAAAUGUGUACUUUUUGUUCUUCUAGUGAAAUCAUCCCUAUUUUUUAGUUACAAUUUGGCAAAUUUUAACUUUGUAGACAUUUUUUUAUUUAAUUUCUAUUAUGUUUAUACUGUCUUGUACUUAUUAGUGAAGGAACUUAAAUAGAAUGAGGCUGGCAGGGACUACAACCGCCCCAAGUUCUUCAAAUUUCCAUAUGUAGAUGCGACUCCGUAAAGUAUCCAGGUUAAUAGUUGUUGGCUGUUCCAUUUUCUUCAAUGGAUCAGUAAUCAUAUGGAAAACAUGUGGACUGUUAAUCUGACAUGAGCAGUUUUGUCGUAAAUAAUUAAGAGAGAGAGCUCAAUUAGAAUCUGUUAGUUUCCUUGCUUAUUGGGUUGUUAUCUCUCUAUUUAUCUUUUAACAUAUAGAUAAAUAUAAUUAUUCUAACAUUUAAUCCCUCAAGGCUUGUGAUGCCUCACCCAUGUAGUUUAAUUCACCUUUUCAAUAAAUGAAGCGGGUAGUCUGCUACCUUUUCCUCAAAAAAAAAAAGAAAACAUUUAAUCACAUUUGCAUACUUUUCAUUCAAUCCAUUAUCAAGAAAAAAGCUAUCUUUCUACUGUAAAAUUGGGUAUAACUAUUGACCACUUGGAUAAUUUUUCUUUCAUAUAUGUAAUAACUUAAAAUGCAACUUUUAUGCACCUUUUUAAAAUGUUUUAUUAAAUACCAUACUUUCGUAAUCACUUUUCACAUAUUUAUUUGUUGGCCCCUACAUUUAGUAAAUCCCGGUUCUGCCCUUGCUAGUAGCAAUGCUCAAAAUGCUUAUGCUCAAGUUGUAUAUAUGCAUUUACUCACUUACCCAAUAUCUUCAGGAUAACUAUAAAAAUCUGACAAAGUACCUCAGAACAUAUCCACUAUGGGUUUGCAUGGUUGGAAGACUAAUCAAACUUGUGUGCCCUUCCUCCUUGUCCUAUUGCUCCAGUUUAAAUAAAGCCAAUACAUAUGAUGCAUAAUUAGGGGUUGUGUGGAGGUCGGAGAGGAGGCCGGUUUUGGGACUGGGGUAGAGGAGGGGUAUGGGAGUGCACUUGAUGCGUAUAUACUUGCUAAAUGUGUCAGCAACUUAAUUCGAAUCAGCGGCUUUUACCUGUUUUGUCUUCAAACAGCUAACUUGCCAUCAUCAAGCUCUUCCACUUUUACAAAGAGACUUCAUGUCUGGUAUCAUAUCUUGAUGAUUACAGUGCAUUACUUGGUAUGUUGUACAGCACUUGCUAGUUUCGUGAAGCAUAAAGGCCUAGGUUGAGACAACAAAUCUGUUUCUGAGCAUGGGCAUAUCGGACCUAGUAUGUAAUAACAGUUUACAGUGAGCAUGUUUGUAAUUCGGAAAGCUCAUAAGGUUGUCUUCUCAUUGUUUAUUACAGUAAGGUGUUGUUAUCAACCUCUAACCUUCACAGUAGCGGUAGCACGCUACCAUACACUUGGAUAUUUAUAGGCUAUUAACUUCAGCCAUUGUUCUGUAAGUUCAAAUAUCCACUCUAUAUAUGAACUGAUUGGACAGCAAUUGCGGGGCUGUUUAUUGACUUCCCUACCAUGUUAGAAUUUUGUUGUUCUAAGGCUGAAAUUUGUAUUUUGUGUUUCCAAUUUAAGUAAUUUUACUCUGGCUUAUUUAAAUUAUCCUAACAGAACUUGCAUUGGAAUCUUGUUUACUGGAAAUGUCAAAAUUCUUCUACUAAAUGUACUGGCUUGAUACAGAUUGGACCAAAGUCGAAGAGUUGGGAUCUGUCACUUUUGUCGUUACAUGCUGAUGGUAUUGUUGACACUGGACUACCCGCAUAGCUUAAUUAAAUAAUAUGCCUACCUAGUUUGGAACAUAUAUUUAGUAUUUAUCUCUAUAAAUCAUUUGCCCACCUUAUAAAUUGUCUCUUUCAUUUUUGAGACGAUCUACUUUUCAUUUUGUCAGUGUGAAGCUUUCAUACGAUGCUUCUGUCGAUGUUUUAGCUUUUCUUUGGUAUAGCAAGAUCACCGAUUUAGACAGGUCUAAGUGAGAUUUCUAAGCCUACACUUUCAUCUACACUUAGGAUUCCUUAGAAUCUUUGGACCAAUGUACAGCAUCAAAUCAUUUAGAGCCUAGUUUAGCAUGGUACGCAGAAGAUUUUUAUCGAUUGAUAUCCUAUAUUGCUUUAUUCAGUUAAUUUAGCUAUCAUUUAUGGCCCUCAUGAGCAACUACAUCUGAAGGGAGCAAAAAUGAAUAAGAAAAUCUGGGCCCGGUGAAAUAUGCUGGUAUUGUUGGCUGUGCGAUCAUAUACUAUAUUUUCUUGACUACGCAUGUUUGGAGUUCUUACUUUGCUUGAUCAUCAUUUCGGAGUUAAAAUAUUUGUUUCUUGCUUCAUUAAUGUAAAUUAAGAUUUUAAUCUGCGUUAUUGUUACAAUCUCAUAAACUUAGACUUCAUGAAUUGCCAACUGAAUGUGUGUAUGUAGACUUCACAUAUUGAAGUGUGUAAGGUUGUUAUUUUCUUGUUAUGUUGGUUUUGGAUUAGUUUAGUGCUUGUUCUUUUUUCAGCACAGGGUGUGUUUGAUUCAUUCUUUUGACUUCAAAAGGCAUAAAAAUUUCACAUUUGUAUCAGAACUGGAAUCGUGGAAUUUUAGCCAUAUGUUCCCAUUUUCUAGGUCUCAAAGCUAAUUGAUUUGUUGUUUAUUUUUCUGUUGAAGAAGCUAGUUAGGCUUUCUUUAUUCCAUGUGUUAUAGAAGCUGUGAAUAAGGAGUUAUCACAAGCUCAGUAACCUUCUGGAGAUAUGAAAUUUGUUUCAUGGUCAUACAAGGGAUAAGAUUAUGAAUGCUUCUGGCGUGGCUCGUCAUCCAAAAUUUCCCUAUUAAACAAGGAAUCUACUAUAGAACAUUAGUCAAUUUUGAGAAGCUUCGCAAAAAACUAACCAAUUAUUAUAAAUGCAGAGCUCGGCAAGUGAUGUCUUAUUGUAUAGUUCAAUCUCGCUUUCGUGGAUUCGUACUUUGUAUCUUUUGUGGGAAGAAAGAGUUAACAUAUUUAAACAAAUGAUAGAAGCAUCUCAGUUAGAAGGAUUGUAAUAAGAAUCACAAAUGAUCAAAAAAUUGAUAAUGAAAGCCGUUCAAUAGGUGUUCUGUCGUGUUUUCAUGUGCAUGGAGCCUAGUUUUAAGAUACUAAAUA